GAAUCAAUGCACCCCCUCCCCCACUCGGACGCAAUAACCCAGCUCAUUGGGUCAAAUCAACUCAGCGCAGGAUGGAUCAGCGCAGCGCGGGCUGACUGAAUUCGAGGUGGAGGUGGAUGCCAUACACACGCUGUAAUAUUUGGAGAAAUAAGACCUGCUCUUGACUGUCCGUGGUGGCAAACCCACAGCCUUUCGCUCGAGUAGAAUCAACCGUAUCUGAAGAGAGAGCUGAGGAAAUUAAACAAUGACUGAGAAACAACACACAGCCCAUCAGCCAGGUGGAACAGUACAUGCGAAAAAUAUGUUUGAGGUCCUCCAUGAGUUUCCUCGGCUAACUACCCCAGGCAUGAUUGCACAGGACUUUCACAUUUUACUUCAAGAUGCAGCCCCAAAACUGUUUGAAAAAUGGCUGGUAUACUGACAGGAUCUUGCUUUUUGCGAAGCGAGAAGCAAAGCUUCCAUGUACAUCUGAAGAAAUGACAGAAGAUGCAAAGGGAAAUCUUGCACUAAAGCUGUUACCUGUUUUGCUUCCACCUCCACCCUACAAAAUUGGCAGAAAAACACUCCGGCCCAGCAUUGAUGAAAUCAAAAAAGCUUUCAUUGACAUUUAGCCUAUUGGAACAGAUAUGGUGGAGGACCUCCAGCAGGCUGAAGCAUCAAGACCUUACCCUCAUGUCCUGUCACUUGAAAAUGGACACAUUGAUUCGCAGGCAUUUGUCAUCCUCGCAGGAAAAGCUUUGGAGCAA